rnacentral:rRNA from 1 species
GAUGAACGCUAGCGGCAGGCCUAACACAUGCAAGUCGAACGGUAACAGGAAAUAGCUUGCUAUUUUGCUGACGAGUGGCGCACGGGUGCGUAACGCGUAUACAAUCUACCUUUUGCUGAGGGAUAGCCCAGAGAAAUUUGGAUUAAUACCUCAUAGUAUAAUUGAAUGGCAUCAUUUAAUUAUUAAAGAUUUAUCGGUACAAGAUGAGCAUGCGUCCCAUUAGUUAGUUGGUAAGGUAACGGCUUACCAAGACUAUGAUGGGUAGGGGUCCUGAGAGGGAGAUCCCCCACACUGGUACUGAGACACGGACCAG